rnacentral:lncRNA from 1 species
AAGCGAGAAGGACUAGGCUGGCUCUCAGAGCCCUUUCCCCAUGUGGCCCACUCUGCAGUGGGAAUCAGCUAACAGGUCUCCUGGGUUUAACUAGUGUGCAGGAGACCUGCAGUGGGGUCUUUGCUGGGCUGAUCCUGAGGCAGCAGGGCCUGGAGUCUUUCCAACAGAUCUUUUAGAUGACAGGGACAUUGAUUUGCUUGUAGUUGGGACUAGCAGGCAGACAGAUACUUGAUGGAUUGUUUUAUUAGGCCAGCCUGCACGAGUGAACCUAAAUGCCAGUUCCUCUGUGCCUUGUUGGCCUCUGGGAGCAUUUGAGAUACAGAGCAGGUACAGGGUGGGACCCUCCCCUAGGGCUGCCGAAUUAGCUGAGAUCUGGGAGAGUUAGCCAUCCUGACAGACAGCAGGGAAACUGUUUCCUCCUAGAAGCGCUUAGCAGCGGCCCAGCUCAGCGGCACAGUCAUUUCUUUUCUCCCUGACUAAACUCAGACCAAGCUGCUGUGUCAUGCAAGGCUGAUGAGCUUGGGAGCUCCUGAUCUUCAUCCGCCUUGCCUGCUGCUCUUCCCUGGAGCAGCCCUCAUCUGCUCUUGGCUCUCUCUUCUUACAGCCACCUAGAGGACACCCAGGUUUCCUGGUAGCAGUCUGGCUGAGAGGACAUCACCGUCUCUUGUGUUUUCUAGCACUUUGGUCAACCGCAAUGCCCCCUGAGGAGCUGCUGCUUGUGUCUUUUAGCUCUCCAGGACACCCUUUGAAACCAGCCUGUUACCCCAGCCCUUCAGCCUCAGUGAGAUGAAUGGUACUACUUGGUGGUGAAGUCCCUAAAGAUGAAUACUGAGGCUGUUGCUCAGUAGGAGAACACUUGAGUAAUCUACACAGGCUUAGGUUUGUCGGCUAACUAUGUAAAAGAGGUCCCCAUGGAAUUCCAAAUUUAAGAUUAGUAGCCCAAGAGUGUUGGGUGGGUAAACCAUUUGGUCCCUAGACCCACCCUCCCUCCACCCCAUGCUGUCCUAAUGCGGGUAUUUUCCAAGUGCCUUUUCUGUGCCCUACAGAGAAUGUGACCACCAUAGAUGUUUCUGGAGAAACUUUUUUUUUUUUAUCGAGACAGGGAUUCUGUGUCCUGUCCUGGACUUCGUAGACUAGGCUGGCCUCAACUCACAGAGAUCUACCUGCUUCUGCUGGGAUUAAAGGCGUGCACCACCACACCUGGCCCUGAGGAAACUUUUAAAACCUUGUACCUCUAAAAGGAUACAAGACCCAAAUGUCAUUAUUCCAGUAUCUAUGACUGGUCAGCCACAAGAGCUUUUGUGCCCCAGAGAUGGAUUAUGAGAGACCCGAGGGCCUGCGGAGAGGAGCAGAGCUGGCAGUCUGCCCAUGGUGUCUUAGUAGUGGGUGCGUGUGUCCUUGUUAAACUGCCCCAGCUGAGGCUGGAGGAGGAAACAGUUGGCUCAAGCCUGCAUGUCACUCCCCUACCAGGAGCUCAGAUUCAGUGACAGUGCAGAAAAAUAAAAUCAGAAGUAGACAUGGUGGUGGCAUGCACUUAUUUCUUGGGAGGUAGACACAGUUCAGGGAUAGCCCAAGCUAUGUGAGACCCUGUCCAUAAAUAAAUAAAAACCAAAUAUUUCCGAAGAACAAACUUAAGAGGCAGAAUACAUAGGUGAACAUAGUAGUGUAAGGCAUUGUUUGUGAGAAUGUUAGUGCUCCGUUUGCACACAGACCAAUGUGGAAGGAACUGCAUGCACAAUGGUAGUGGCGGAACUGUGAUCCCUGCUGUUGGCAAUAAACAGGUUUCCUGAGUCUCAC